GAGAGCAAGGGGUGGGUCCAUGGCUUUGGGAGUCCAGGUCACUCAUCUCCUUGCAAUAAUCCCCCAUUUCCAAUGAGCUCCCAUGAAUCUCUGCAAUCAGAAUUGGCCAUGAAAGCAGAAAUACCAGCCCAUCAGGGGCAGUGGGCCAAUUAGGUAAGAUGAUCAUUGCCACAAUCUCAAGGCAGCCCCGGGGCUAACUGCCACCCCACGAGUCACGUGUGAGUGGUAAAAUGUCCCCUUUGGCUGGUGCAUUCUCUUGAGCAUAGCCCAAGAAGUUCCCGAGCCUCUUUCCCUCGGCCCCUCCUCGCUUGGGGAGAUUCUUUUUAAACCGCAGGCCUGAGCAACGCCCCUGGAGCCCUCCCUGGGAGGAGAGGAAGCAGUUCAAAGUAACGAGUCAAUUUCACAGAUGGGAGCCAAGACAAAAGAGGCAGCGUCUUCUCACCCCAGGCACCACCCGAGCUCAGCUUCCUCUGGCAAUUUUAGCAUGUUUGGUCCGGCCUCAUUUAGACAUUUCAGAUCUCUGAAGCCCAGAGAGUGUCCAUGAGAGGUUUCCGUUUGCCACGGAGUCGAUAGUACAAAUUUUGUUCCAAACACAUCUGCCAAGUACAACCCUAAACUUUUCCAAGCGAGAGGUUAUUUUC
rnacentral:lncRNA from 1 species